rnacentral:misc_RNA from 1 species
UGUAUACCUGGUUAAGCGUAAGCUUGACCAAACCAUGUGUGAAUCAGUGUUCUCUUCCCGGCGGAAGCUCUUGCGACUUGGACAACUGUCUGGGAAACUCGAGUGACGGCUGGGGCAUUGCCUCGCAAGAGGUAUAUCAUGUUCAAUAGCAGGGAACUCAAAAGUAACAAAUUA